AGCAGCCGCGGUAAUUCCAGCUCCAAUAGCGUAUAUUAAAGUUGUUGCAGUUAAAAAGCUCGUAGUUGAAUUUCGGGGUCAGUAGGCUGGUCGUGCCACGGGUAUGUACUGGUCUUACUGAUUCCUCCUUCCUGAUGAACCGUAAUGCCAUUAAUUUGGUGUUGCGGGGAAUCUGGACUGUUACUUUGAAAAAAUUAGAGUGUUUAAAGCAGGCUAACGCUUGAAUACAUUAGCAUGGAAUAAUGAAAUAGGACGAUCGAUCCUAUUUUGUUGGUUUCUAGGAUUGACGUAAUGAUUAAUAGGGAUAGUUGGGGGCAUUAGUAUUCAAUUGUCAGAGGUGAAAUUCUUGGAUUUAUUGAAGACUAACUACUGCGAAAGCAUUUGCCAAGGAUGUUUUCAUUAAUCAAGAACGAAAGUUAGGGGAUCGAAGACGAUCAGAUACCGUCGUAGUCUUAACCAUAAACUAUGCCGACUAGGGAUCGGAUGAUGUUAAUUUUUAAUGACUCAUUCGGCGCCUUAC
rnacentral:rRNA from 1 species